AACGAACGCUGGCGGCAGGACUAACACAUGCAAGUCGAGCGGACCCUUCGGGGUUAGCGGCGGACGGGUGAGUAACGCGUGGGAAUAUGCCCUUCUCUGCGGAAUAGCCUCGGGAAACUGAGAGUAAUACCGCAUACGACCUUUGGGGGAAAGAUUGAUCGGGGAAGGAUUAGCCCGCGUUGGAUUAGGUAGUUGGUGGGGUAAUGGCCUACCAAGCCGACGAUCCAUAGCUGGUUUGAGAGGAUGAUCAGCCACACUGGGACUGAGACACGGCCCAGACUCCUACGGGAGGCAGCAGUGGGGAAUCUUAGACAAUGGGGGCAACCCUGAUCUAGCCAUGCCGCGUGAGUGAUGAAGGCCUUAGGGUUGUAAAGCUCUUUCAGCUGGGAAGAUAAUGACGGUACCAGCAGAAGAAGCCCCGGCUAACUCCGUGCCAGCCGCCGCCGUAA
rnacentral:rRNA from 1 species